GGACGUGGCGGUUGACGGC
rnacentral:siRNA from 1 species